AAAAAAACCCACAACCUAGAAAACGGUGUCGUUCUGGUAUCGCAACUGUUUUAGUUGGUUAGAACAUUCCAUGUCCAAUCCCUGACAGCCACCUCUCGUGGAUAUCCCGUCAGCGACUGCGAUGGGCCGUAAACCACCAAAAUCAACGACUGCGAUGGGCCGUAAACUACCAAAGUCAACGACUGCAUCGCCACCAUUACUCCGCCGCAUCACAAGUCUCGACGAAAGCAUAUCCCGCUACAUACACAAAUACACAAGUCCCCUUGCCCCUAAACCUCUCCUACGCUUCCUAGAACACUUAGCCGAUUUCCGUUUUUUCCUCCCCGUCACUCUCUCACUCUUCUUCGCCACUCCCUCUCCCUCUCCCCUCCAUUCCCACCUCUUCAUCCCUCUCAUCCUCUGCUCCCUCCUCGAUCUCAUCGUCACCGGUUUCCUCAAAUUCCUCGUUCGUAGAUCUCGCCCUUCCUAUGCAAUCCACGGUGAUUACAACGCCGUCGUUCCCGUCGAUAAAUUCUCUUUCCCAAGCGGUCAUUCCUCCAGAGUAUGCUUCAUCGCCUCCAUAUUUUUCCUCACACGAGAUCAUAUCGUUGACGCCGUCGCCGAUCGGAGCCAUCCGAAGCUUUCUAUUAUCGUUAAUCGGUGGAUCGGAGGAGACGAAGUUAUGGCAGUUAAUCUUUUGGUUGUUGCCGUUUGGUCUUGGGCUCUUACGACGGUUAUUUCUAGGGUUGUUCUUGGGAGGCAUUAUGUUCUCGAUGUUAGCUUCGGAGCUUGCUUCGGUGUCCUCGAAGCUUUCUUCACCUUACGCUUUCUCAAAUUCGAAGUUUUGAUUUGAGACUCCACAUUAAUGGGAUGACUGAGCCAAAGCAAAAUAGAGCGAAAACACAUGAUAAGGAAAACGACUAUAUCAUUAUUGUCCAUGUCAGGUCUCGUGGAGCAAAUUGCACUUAAGCUAUUGGAGGGGAUCAAAUCUUUCUAAUUGGUAUCAAACGGAUAAUGAAGUCAUGAAUGUUUAGGACAUCGGGGUCCUGAUCCUCACAGAUAAUUUUGAACAUCUUUAUGACUAACAUCCAGCAAAUACUACUUGGUCUCAAUUCUUUCCUCAUUCAUUAGUUAAAAUUGUUUUCUAGCUUAAUUCUGUUAGUUAUUUAUUCCUUGGGAAUUUAACUAUCUACUUCUCUAUACGUUUCCCUACAUUGUAAAUAAUAAAUGUAGACAUGUGAUAUAUCAUCCCUGGUAAAGAAGCUCUGUUUUUCAUUUAUUUGUAAUUUGUCUUAUGUUCUAUUUUUUUAUGGUGAAAAUCUUAUGUACCAUUUAAACUAAAGGAUGUGUGGUAUGCAUUGAUUUCUCUA